UAUUAACAUACUGGCAUAAAUCAGGGCAGCUGCACAUAAAUUGGACAAUAUGUAAGUAGUGGCAAGCUGCUUUCAGUGAAGAAUUGGGUGUAGAUUGCCAUCUAAUCCAGAAGAUAGAAGAAAGCUUUAGACAGUUGAACAUUGCCAUCAAUCUUGGAACAGAAGCCAGGAAAUUGGUUAAUUUUCAUUUUAAACUCUACGUCUGAAAGGAUAAUGCAAAUUUUAGUGCAGGCAUGCAGGUUUCUGCCUUGAGUUAAAAAUAAAGCUAAUCUAAUAGGUUGUGGAUGAAAAAAAAUUAAGUUAGAAAUAAACUCUUGUCACUGCAGUUUAUGAUAUUCAUGAAAAUCUCUACAAUAUUUACUGGGUGAAUUCUAGCAGCUGAAAAUACUAUAUGGAUAUUAAAUAUAUACUCUAGGAAGCUAUGCAUGUUUUCUGUGAAAUGCUUAUGGCAAUUUCAUUUCCUGUGGUUCCAUAGUUAUUAAAUAUCACUUCUUCUCAAGGUAUGUGAUCUUUGCUCUCUGAAUUGAAAGCGUUUCUGGAAUGGACUCGCACAGUAUUCUUGCUUUGUUUUGUAUCUUUACAUAAAAUAGCUUUGAGUUCAUCGCUUUUUGCAUCAUUCAGUGCUUUUGAUUCAAAGUGAGUUACUUGUACAUCACGCUGCAGGUUCACUACUGUUGAUCUGCUGGGGGUCCUUGAUUAGCUGUUAGCGAGUUCUCCUUUCCUUCUGUUUCCACUUCCAUGCUGUGGUUGGAGACUCAGUGGUCCUGAUAAGAAAUCUUGGGAGUUCUGUGUGAUAUUCUCAUGCAUGUGCUUGCUAUGAAUGUGUCUCUCAUACAUUCACAGUGUCAUACAGAAGCCAGAUAUUUUUCAAGUUUCUUGCCAAGUUGCAUUUGGUAUGUAUCACAUUUCUCCUGAAGAGAAUAGCAAGAUACUAUCCCAUACGGGGACCUCUGCAUUUGAUUAUUUGCCAUUCUCCAACAAAGCAUACAGAGUUUGAACUGUAAGGGUUGAUGGUCACCAGUAUCAAGAAGCAGUCAGUAACCCUUGACAUUUUUCUCAGAUUGUUGUAAGCAAUGUUGAUCUAUCUGUUGUCUGACAAGCUGCUGAUUAUUUUUCCCAAGUCCAAAUGUGAUGUUCAGCUUCUUUUUUGUAAUGUACUCCGAGACACUAUCAGACAGCUUGGAUCACAUGUAUUCAGCCAAAUAAUUGUCACUCAUUCUGUAACUCUAUCAGGGGAGUAGGAAUUAUCCUUAAGCUUGCUAGCAACACUGGGUGGUCCUUUUAUGGCUCAAUUUGUCUCACUUUACGUUGUGCAGAGCUUUAACAAGAAGGUGCAGAGAUUCCCAAAUAGUGUAGCCUAUGGCGAGGAUAUUCUUGCUGGACAGUGAAGAUGAGGGUUUGACUUUGACUCCUGCACAGAGACCGAAACUGUCCCUGCAGCUUCUUUUCCUGAGACUAUUGGGUAAAGUGAAGUGAUAGAUCUCUGGCAGUGAUUUGUAAGAAGGGAAUGAGCUUUGCUCAGCUCUUGGAAAAAGUAGAAAUCAAGCCCUGUCAGCCCUCCUCAGUGGAGGUGAACUCUCUGCAAUAUUCAGAUCUUCAAGCAUGUGGUUCUGAUGCAAUGUAAUUGAAUCGCCUGGUCUGAAUUACCUGGUCAAAGAUCUUGGAGGUAUAUUUCACCUAAAGCAACAGCAGCUUAGAAAUAAUUGUCCCAUAGGAUUCACAGAUUUGCUAACAGGGAAGCUGUCUGCAGAAGCGAAUCUGAUUUGCCCACUGACUUGGCCAUUUCAGUGAUUGUUUCUGCAAAGGUGCUGCAUGGAAACUGUUUGAUGUGUAUUGAUUUGAUAUAUAUUUCCCCCCUAGCUUUCAAGCUUUGAUCAAAAUUUCAGUUAUAAUAAAAGGGAGAGUUUUUAUGCACUUCCACAGUUUCUGCACAAUCACUGAUAAUAUAACUGUCUGGAGCCAGACAGUUGUAGCACUUGUAGGUGUUAUAUAUGUAUAAUAUAUAUGUAGCAGUUAUGCUGCAUACUUGGAUGCUGAACUGUUUAUUUUCAAUCAGAUACAGACCAGGAUAUGAUGACCUUCAUCAGCCUGAAGUGUUCAUUGAUGUGCACUCUGAAUUAACUGAAAAUAAAAUAAAUAAAUAGAAUUCCCAGGCCGCUGAAAAGCCUGCAUCACAAGCACAAGUUGUUUUUGUAGGAAUUUGUUAAAAAGCUUAAGUAUUUUUUCUUACUUAUAUGCAACGGUGGUGGGAGGGUUGCAUUUUGCGCAUCUGUUCCAUAACAUUAAUAUGUCUGGAGAGCUGAAAUCGAAGUACUGUGACUGCUUUUAAUGCCAAAAUGAAAGUAUUAUCUUAAUGCAAAAUCAUAGGAUUGGUUUAUAGGUGUGAGUAAAUUCUAUGUGGGCCUGAGGAAAGGGUUUACUACAACACACCUGAUCAGUUAAAUGAUUCAUCUCGUCUUGCUUUCUGUAUCUAGUAGUUUGUAUUUCAAAGGAGCAAGCAACAUCUAAAAAUAAAGCAAGAAUGGAAGAAGAAGAGUUCCUCUCUUGACUUAUGCAGGCUGUAAAUUUAUGCACUGUAGUUAGCAUUUGAAAUGUAGCUAGCACUUGACAGUUAACUUGCCUUAAUCAUUCUGUUAAUAAAAAUAAUUGUACAACCUUGAGCUCUGCUGCUGAUCACUGCAAUCUGCGUACAGCAUGAUCUCUGAGGGUCACUGUUUUCCUGUGUUUUGCUUAACAUUGCAUUUUUUUAACUGGUGCUGAUGACUGUGCUGAUAAACGUGUUUUGUUAUUGCUCCAUAGUUCAUCACUUACUCAGGAAGAAUAUAGUGAGCUUGGAAGAGACCUGUAAGAUGAUCUAGUUUCAAGCCCCCUGUUAGAGGCAGGGAUACCUCCCUCUAGACCCGGAUGCUCAAACUCCCAUUCAGCCUGGCUUUGAAUGUUUUUUUUUUUCCUCUUUACAAAACUUAACAGUUUUCUCACUGGGUUAAAGGCACUGAACCACCACAGUCUCUCUUGACACCUUGUCCAACAACAGGCAGGUCUGAGCUCUUUGCCUUUUCCCAUUUGAGGUAAUGAGGAAAGCUCCUGCUGACUUCCAGGCUAGUUGAAAUACAGCCUUGGGUAACUCUAUGGAUGCUUGUAGGUAGAUUCAAAUUCCUGUGUGUGUGCUUCUAAGCUUUCACAUCAGCACCAGUUUGUGAAUGUGGACAGUCCUGAGUGUGUAAUAAUUAUUGAGAAGUAGUGUAGGUAUGUUUUUUUCUGGUCUGCAUGGGCUUUAUUGUAUGAAAUACUGUUUAGAAUGCACAUUUGUAUAAAGGCAUUGCUUCUGAGUCUCAGAGAAAUAGCGAGCAACAGAUGGACUGUCUAUGUGUGAAUGUAUGUUCAGCUCAAGCCUGCCAAAAUGCAGUAAUGGAGGUAAGUUCAUUAAGUAUGGGAUGACAUAGUAUAUGUACAAUUCAGAUUGAAAAUGGGUACCCAAAUCAGGACACAAGUGAACUCUAGGGCCAAAGUACCUACUGAGCUGACCAUACAUACACAGUAACAGUGCCUGACAGCUAAAAGGUCUCAAGGGAUCACAUUAGCAUCUGCCUCCCCUUCUCGUAGGUAGAGAAGCAUGGGUGCAUCUUUGAGGCAGUUUACCAUACAUAGUGUUGUAUACAUUUGUACACACACACACACACACACACACACACACACACCAUACUGAAAAGGAAUAAAGCACCUGAAAAGAUUCAGUGAGCAUCAGGAGCCUUCUGGAACUAUUCUGAAGUCAUAGAAAAAGAAGUUGCAGGUUUCUAAAUUGUUGUGGAAGGAGUAAAUAAUGAGAAUAUUGUUAUAUUCUCAUCUGUGCUUUGGAUAUCAAAUAAUUAUUGAACUUCAGGAGAUGACCCAAAACAACAGAAAUAAGUCUCAAAAGAGAAAUUAGAAGGCAGAACUCUCCACUCCCAGUAGUUAGUAUCCCGGCCUUUUUAACAAUCUCCUCAUGCUGUUUAGACCCUGAUUUUAGUUACAUUUAAGGACUGCACACCACUUAAGUAACUGUAUAGAUAACAGCAGCUCCUGAAGGAAGUAAAAUCCCAGCCCUGCUUAGCCCUGGAUUCUGAGCACAGGCAGUGGCAGAAUUGCAGGUGAUGGAUCUGGCUUAAUGCUCUGGGUCUGGCUCUUACACUUGGCUUGGGUAGAAUUCAGGUGUUUGAGCAGAAGUCGUUCUAGGACUUCUUCACAAAUACAGUUUGAUUGGAGACUUGCUUUUUAAACUCUGAAGUCUUUCAAGGGUGGCUUUAUCAAUAAUCUAGAGAUGCUUUAAGUUGUAUUCUGAAAUUUCCACGACUCACAGUGCCUCUGAAUGUAUGAACAGCUGCUGAUGUUUACUGCAGAUGUUGCCCUUUGUUACAGUAUUCUAUCCACUAUACCAUUGUGUGAAAUAUGUGUGUAUGAAAUGUUCAUGUGAUAUGAAUUAAAAACAGAACAAGCACUGCAGUGGUUACCUCCAAACUGAUAAUAUAACACUUUGACACCCUAGGCCUGUAUCCUUCAGCCAGAGGUGCUCAUUCAGGAAGCAGGCAGCUCUGCAGGCAGACAGGCAUACCAAUCCCAAUGAUAACUGGAUAAAUGGCUCCCUUGUUCAAGGGAUACUUUUAUCUGUUGUAGCUCACAUCCAUAGCAACUCCAAGAACAGGAUUCAGUUUCUUAAAUCAGGUCCCCUGUUAUUAGGAGAACGUAGCAAAGUUCUUCUAUAUGCUUUACUAGGAAAGCUAGUGAACCUAAAUACAAGUCAUAGGUUGAAGCCAAGCUGCUUGAGUCUUUCUCUCCAGAAGUAUGGACACUUGCAUAAAACACAUAUGACACUAGUUCAAUGAGCUCUGUGGGCAAUGAGUAUACUAAUUAAGUAUUUUGAGCUUACACUAGAAUUAAGCAAUAAAAAUUAAGAAAAUACUAUAUGAUUUUUCAAAAGUAAUUGAUAAAAGUCAAUGUAAAUAAUCUGUUUUCUGAUGCUAGUAAUGUGAAAGGCAAUAUAUUAAAAAAAAAAUAAAAUAAAACAGAAAAAAAGGAAACAAACAACAACAAAAAGCCAAACCAACAGAGUUCCUGGAAUAAAAAUAGUAGAAAACAAUUUGACACUGAUUUCGACAAGGAAUACCAUUAUUCAAAAAGAAGUGACAGCUUAGUAGAAAAUGGUUAUAACAUUUUUUUCUUCUCCCUUACCCCCAACACAUUUCUUUGGCUAUUUUGAAUAGAUGUUUCUGCAGCUGAAAAACUGCCAAGAUGCCACAGUGAUAGUGUAGUUCACAGAUGGAUCCCAUGUGGUUUGUCUGGUGUGUUAAUGAUGGCUGUGACUGAUUCUGCAUCGCCAGAUCUGGUAAACGCAUAACAAGUUACCUGAAGCAACUACAAUGUUGAUCUGUGUAAUGCUUGAUGUCAAUGCUACUGUUGCUUCCCCCUCUCACAACACCCCCUCCUCUGUUUCCCAAGGUAUUGAGAUCCUCAAGCAGUGAAGCAGAUAAAGUUUAUAUACUUAUUUAAAAUAGGUAUUUUUAUCCAAAGCUCUCAGAGAUCUAGAACUUAUCACAAAUAAAAGCUCUGUGCUCUGGGGGCUAACAUACCCAGUUUAUUACAAAUGGCAAAACUGAGGCAAGGAGAUAAAAAGAGCGUUCAGUAAGUAGGCACAGCGAGACUUGCACUUGAAAAACUUUUAAUUUACUCUAGAUAGUAUCAUUUAUAUUACUGUACAUCUAAUCCUGUUACUUGGAUCUGUUUUCACUUGCUUUCAUGUAAGAGGUAUGGCUUUGUUUUCAACAUAAUUACUUGUUGAAGAUUUUGCUGCAUUUUUACCUACUUGGGGAAAAAGAAGUUAUUAUAAGGCACAGCACUUGAUUACACUUAAUUCCAGUGUAAUCAUUGGGUUAGAUUGUUCAUAUUUCCAGGCAUUCUAACUAAAAGAUGAUUAAGAUGAGACAAGUAGGUUAAAACUUCUUUAUCAUCAAAGUCAAGUGCUACAGAAACUAGUUAUAAGGCUGCUUGUGUUUUGGAUCCUGAGCAAUGUAAAGAGCAACACAUUCCUCAGAUCUCUUCCAACAGUACCUGGAAAGACAGAGAGAUAACGUAGUGUGUAUGGGGAAAUAUGGGAGGACAAACCACCCACACAAACAACUAAUGAGCUGAUGCUGCUGAGAAGCAGAGAAAUUACAAACAGUUUUUCUUCUGCUUACAUUGUUCUAUAUUGGUAUGUCUUGUAGAGUAGUUCCCAAAAAUAUAACAUCAUCACCCAUAUAAAGCCAAACAUCAUGACACAGUAGGGAAGAAUUCCUCUCCGUACGGAUGAACCAAAGGGAAAGGCAGAAGUUCUGAUCUCAGUGACAGGAGGGUUGAAAUAGAAUCACAUAAGCAGAGAUACUUUUUAACAAUGUACAUUAACUAAGAGUUCCAGAGUGUUUGUGUCAUGUGAUCAGCACUUUUGUAUGAGCUGUUUAUGCUAGUUGCAGAUAUGGCCAGAGAUAAGUAUCAGUAUACAGUAGUGACACAUACAAUAACAUGUACUUGCUGUAGAAAACUGGUAAAUGUCUUAAUCUCAUAUGAUCUGUGCUGGCAGAUCUCUGCACGUGCAUCAUGCCAGGACUUUGAAAACAGCCUCAUUCAUUGGACUGCAGGACUGGGAAUUAAAUUAAGUGAUUUCAUAGAGGUGGAGGAGGUGAGCACAUACUGAAAUCACAGGUGUAGAGAUUAGUAAAAAUAAUCACUACUACUCAAUAGCCAUUUGUUUGUUUGCUUUUUUUUCCUGUAAGAAACAAGGCUGCUUAUAAUCAUAUGUCUUUAAUCUAUUUCACUGUACUACCAGUGAGUGUACACCAUCCUUCUCCUUCAGAGCAGGCACUUUAUUGGUCUAUGCCACUUUUCACAAGAGUUGGCAAAUACUUUCCCUUUCUGUUCUCUCUGGAAACUAUUUCCAUCAGUUCUUCUUUUACUUAUAUGUGUCAUUACUAUGAAAUAGCCCCAUGAAUCUUACUCCAGGAGGAGAGCUGUGCUCUUGCCCUGGCACCCAAACUUUGCCGUGUUUUUGUUGAUCAAGGCUGGUUGGAAGCUUAGAGUAUCUGCUGUGAUUGCCUAUGAGUGUAUUCUCACCAUCUACCUUUCUUCAUGAUCUUUCUCACGUUGUUUUUUUCUUGAUAGUAUUUAUCUUGUAUUUUACCCAGCUUAAUCAUAAAGGGAUAGCUAGAUGAGUGCCUGGCUUUGUUUGCUCCAGAAACUCCAGACUUCUGCCCUAAGGAGUAAUGCAGACUAUUGCAAAUUCUGCAAUCUCAGAGGCCGCAUUUCUGCAGUAGGUGAUGCAUGGCUUGGUAUGGACUAAAUACACAGAAUGUAUAUUGUUGCAGUCUGGGAAAUCAUUCAUCUCUACUCACACACACUGGGCAUGGAUAAGUAGGCUAUCACCAGCAGCUAGAGUGAAGGUUUUGCCAUCCAUGGUGACAGUAGAUGCACCCUCCUGAAGGGAAAGAACAGAUAGUCAGCUUUUAGUUAUGUGUACUGUUGUGAGUAGGAAGAAAAUUCUGCAGGUAAGUAUGGAAAUCUUUUCCACUGAAAGAGCACUUCUAACUUGCUCAGCUUUAUGAAGCCUAGCUAAAUAUUCAGCUGAUGUUCCCUGUCUGAAACUAUUAGCAUCAAUAAAAACAUGCUUCAUGAUUCACUGCUCCCUAUCACAAAGCAGCAACUUAUUGCUUGAUAUCUUGGGGAUAUGCUGCGACCGAUCUAAGCCAGCAGCUUGUAAAUUGGUGCAACUCUCUGGAAAUUUACAGAGAGAACCUCCAGGAGUACUUCAAACUCCUUUUCUACCUUUCUGAUUCCUAAUACCUUUUCACAUCUUGAAAGGUAGUCCAUGAGUCAGCAGGGAGCUGACAGAAAUCACUAAUGGGAGUCCAUCUACACUGGAACACGCUUGUCAUUAUCUUGUCAAGCAGAGGAACCAGAUUCCUGCCAGCAACACAGUCUUGACUGCAUGGUCUGCUGCGAGCUGCAGUGUAAACAAAUGUCUUUCAAGAUUGUUAUGUCUUUAAUUAGUAGUUGAUAGUCCCUGUGAAUUUCAGCAGAAC
rnacentral:lncRNA from 1 species